UCCUGGAGCUGAUCCGGGGUAGUUAACUAGGGGGCAGGAGGCUGGAUUCAGCUUAAGUCUGAAGAUCAAAGAACGUGUUGAGCGAGCCGCCAGGAGGAAGCCAAAGGGCUGGAGGGUGCAGCCUUUGGCUCUGACAGUUUCAAAUUUGAAAGAAGGUGGAAGGCUAGGAGGCAAAUUCUGCUGAUCAGCUGGACCCCGCUCUCUCUUGCGUGUACUUUCCUGCAGCAGUAACCCAGAGCCUUCCCUGAACUGAGCUUGCACCAGUUUUCCCAACACCGCUAAAGGAAGCGAAGCGGAGGCUGUGAGGACUUGCAGGCUGGGGACCCAAGCUUCUCUCACAUCCCGCUAACUUCCUUAAACCCGAGAUGGCCUUUCCCUCUUCCAUAUCUGCUCCCUCCCCUCUCCCCCGCAGCGCUCAUCCCACGCCCACCCUCACCCCUGGCUUCACAGUCCCACUUCCUGAAGCACAGGGCUGCAAGCCCGACUCUUCCUCACCCGAGAGAGGAAGAAAUCUGCAGAUCUGGGAUUAAGUUGUACGAGGGAACAAGAUGAGAGCGCACCUGGUCGGGCCAUAUCCUUAGUACAGAACCGAACUCAUGUUUUCUAAGGCUCUACUGGCUUGGGACAAAGAUAGUCUCUACUCCUUUGCAACCGCAUCUUAAAUUUUGGCACUGGAACCUAGGCUGGGUACCAGGCAGCCAGGGAGUUGCAAACUUUGGGGAAGAAGUGAGAACAAGAGGAGCAGGGAAGAAGGGGAACAUGGGAACACGGAUGAGAAAGCUGGAUCUGGCCCUCUGAGAAAACAGCCCCGUGUGGAGCCAGGACUUUGGUUUCUCAUGACCUUUCUCCUCAAGCCGAGGCUUCAGAUUAUAACUAGGAUGAACAAAGACUUUAAAAUCGUGUAUGUCUCCUGUUUAUGGAGAAAAAGCUUCUAUGGGGCCACCCGCGCAGAGUGCGCAAAACGUCAAGAAUUUACUUGGCUGGUAAAAACGUGACUAGAAACUUGGGAAUUUUCCUGGGCUAACCGCAGCCUGACUUCUGGUGGUAACACUAACCUUCCUUCCUCUGCCAGAAUCCCUGGGUCCGUCUGGCGAGGGCCCCAUCUCUUAGGUGGAAGGGAAGGCAGGUGAGCGUAUGAGCAGGUGUCACCACCUAGAGUUUGAACUGAACUCUUGAAAGUCAAGUUGGGAUAGGUCUGAGGCGUCGCCAGACGCCUUGAAAUAUCAUCCAGUGAAAGUGUGCAAACGACACAGAUGAAGAGUCACUGGACAGCGGAGUUUGCACCUGGGGCUCGGUGGCUUCUCAGCUGUGACAAACCCCUGGAAUAGGUGUUUCCCGGAAGAUCUCACGAAGGCUCCGCCCCGCGUGGUCCUUACGUGGGCUGGAGUCCUGAGUAGAACUUAUCCUAACCAGGUGGAGAUUUAAAUGACUGCAUCCACUCCCAAGAUUUAUUGCAAGAGUGAUUGAUGUUAUAAACCAGGAAAGGACUCUUCCCACAGCAGGGAUGACAGAAAUAUCAAGUUGAAGUUGCCUUUGUCUGCAUGCAACGCGUAAGCCAGUGCUACAACACAGACAGCUUUGAGAGAACACCCACCAA